GUUCAUCCAAGUCCCUUGGAGGCCAUUUCACCUUUUUCAACCAUUUGGCUUACAGUUCGUUCAAGUGCUGCCAAUUUCUUGGAGGCCAUUUCACCUUUAUCAACCAUUUGAGUAAUCUUACAGUUAAUUCAGGUGUUGCCAGUCUGUUGGACCAUUUCAGAAUUGUUGUUGGAGUCAUCUUACUAUUUCAACUGCUAGAGUAAAGUGCUGUGAGAAAGAACCAUGUCUCCCAUGCCGCCACUGAUGAUUCAUCUAUUCAUUCAUUUUCUUUUCGGCUUAGUCUCUUUAUUAAUCUGGGGUCGCCACAGCGGAAUGAACCACCAACUUAUCCAGCAUAUGUUUUACACAGCGGAUGCCCUUCCAGCUACAACCCAUCUCUGGGAAACAUCCAUACACACUCAUAAACUACGGACAAUUUAGCCUACCCAAUUCACCUGUAAUGCAUGUGUUUGGACUGUGGGGGAAACCAGAGCACCCGGAGCAAACCCACACAAACAUGUGGAAAACAUGUACCCUCCACACAGAAAUGCCAACUGACCCAGCCGGGGCUCGAACCAGCGACUGGUGAGACGACAGCACUACCUACGUCUUGCUGUGAGACGACAGCACUACCUACUGCGUCGCCGCCACUAAUGAUGUCAUUGUUUAACAUGUGAUACAAUGGUUCAACCUGGCAGCAGACAGGGGAAGCUCAAGGAGUUGCCCCACUGUCAGUACCUUGACUCAACAGUGAACUCUUUGAAAUGGUCAUUUAAAAUAGUACCAUUCUGUUCAGCAAAGUCUAUAAUUAAUUCUGCUUUUAAUCUCCUUUUACUCUUUUUCAUGUAGUAAAAUGCUUUUAUGAAGUAAAACAGUUAACGGUACAA